GUUUUACAAAAGGAGAAACUGAGGCAGGAAGAGGCGGUGGAUGUGCACCAGGGCACGUGGUGCGUCGGUGCAUAGCUGAGGGCACAUGGAACAUUCACCAAGAUAAACCAUAUGCUGGAACAUAAAAUUUAUGGAUGUCGCCCAUGAAGCAGAGUCCUUCAGACCCUCAAUCAAAAACAAGUCUCAUUUUACAUUAAAUUGGAGGACUAUCUGGAGUCUCUGACCACCGUGUGACAGAAAAGAGAGCAGAAUUGUUGCAUGAUGGGUAACACUCAUCAGUAAUCGCUGUUUGCCAAGCCAUCUGGGAGGAGACCAAAGAGCUAUAAAAUAAGUUCAGGCACGGUGGUUCAUGCCUGUAAUCCCAGCACUUUGGGAGGCCGAGGUGGGUGAAUCACCUGAGGUCAGGAGUUCGAGACCAGCCUGGCCAACAUGGUGAAACCCUGUCUCUACUAAAAAUACAAAAAAAAUAGCUGGGUGUGGUGGUGGGUACCUGUAAUCCCAGCUUCUCAGGAGGCUGAGGCAGGAGAACUGCUUGAACCUGGGAGGCAGAAAUUGCAGUGUGCCGAGAUUGUGCCACUACUCUCCAACCUAGGCAACAGAGUGAAUCUACAUCUCAAAAAAAUAAAUAAAUAAAAAUAAAAAAUAUAUAUAUAGGUACCAGAGCUGAGAACGUAGCAGCCUGGGACCAUGUAUUCAGGAGCAAAUAACAAGCCCAGAAAAUGCCUGGGAGAAGUCUUGUACCAGUCUACUUCAUGGUUUAGUAGGAACAUCAUGGACUCAGCUGACAAUGAUUUGGGCAUGGCCCUGCCACUAACCCACGAGAGGCUGUGGACCAGUCCCUUUCAUUUCCCCUUUCUGGGGACCCGCUUCCCCUUGUGCAAAAUGGAGUCACUAGAAUCUAGUGUCUUGAUCUCCAAGAUGAUUUCCACUUUUA